rnacentral:rRNA from 1 species
CGGACGGGUGAGUAAUGUCUGGGGAACUGCCCGAUGGAGGGGGAUAACUACUGGAAACGGUAGCUAAUACCGCAUAACGUCGCAAGACCAAAGAGGGGACCUUCGGGCCUCUUGCCAUCGGAUGUGCCCAGAUGGGAUUAGCUAGUAGGUGGGGUAACGGCUCACCUAGGCGACGAUCCCUAGCUGGUCUGAGAGGAUGACCAGCCACACUGGAACUGAGACACGGUCCAG